rnacentral:rRNA from 1 species
UACGGAGGAUGCGAGCGUUAUCCGGAUUUAUUGGGUUUAAAGGGUGCGUAGGCGGAUCGUUAAGUCAGUGGUCAAAUUGAGGGGCUCAACCCCUUCCCGCCAUUGAAACUGGCGCUCUUGAGUGGAAGAGAAGUAUGCGGAGUGCGUGGUGUUGCGGUGAAAUGCAUAGAUAUCACGCAGAACCCCGAUUGCGAAGGCAGCAUGCCGGCUUCCGACUGACGCUGAAGCACGAAAGCGUGGGGAUCGAACAGG